rnacentral:rRNA from 1 species
AUUGAACGCUGGCGGCAGGCCUAACACAUGCAAGUCGAGCGAGCGGCGGACGGGUGAGUAAUGCCUGGUACUUGCCCAGUCUAGGGGUAUAACAGUUGGAAACGACUGCUAAUACCGCAUACGCUUGGAUUCCCCAGGUGGAAUUAGCUAGUUGGUGGGGUACUGGCUCACCAAGGCGACGAUCCCUAGCUGGUCUGAGAGGAUGAUCAGCAACACUGGAACUGAGACACGGUCCAGACUCCUACGGGAGGCAGCAGUGGGGAAUAUUGCACAAUGGGGGAAAGCCUGAUGCAGCCAUGCCGCGUGUGUGAAGAAGGCCUUCGGGUUGUAAAGCACUUUCAGCGAGGAGGCGUUACGCGCAGAAGAAGCACCGGCUAACUCCGUGCCAGCAGCCGCGGUAAUUC